UGAUUUAAUAAAAAUGAGUUGGGUGGGUGGGAGAUAUGCUCAUGUAUCAAAAUAGGAAACAACAGAUAAUGCAAAAAAUGGAUAAAAAUUAGCAUUGAGACACAGGUUAUGCUUCCCUCACAGCAAGUUUAUUGCAAUGGUGACAAUGAGACCUGGAACAUUU